rnacentral:lncRNA from 1 species
CGGGAGAGAGGAUGAGCGAGCCAAUCGCUUACGCCCUUGUUCGAUGGGGCGGGAGACCCGCGUCGCGCAGCCAAUCCUCGUGGCCAAAGUCGGGAGGAAUUGGCCAAUCCGCUGCCGCUUGCCAGCGACCGAGGUACUCAGGAUGGGGGGGAGCGGUGAACGCGGAGAGAAACGAAAGUAACGUUUGGGCAAGAUCCUACCUAAAGCAAGAUAUGUGUGUACUGUGCGUUGCUCUGAGGAGGACAAAGUAUCAACGCCUGCAGCUCUAACAACUCGACAACGGUGCUGGGCAAUCACUAUACAGUACAGACUCUCGAGUGGCC